ensembl:snoRNA U3 Small nucleolar RNA U3
CACACCUGGCUCAGGGGUCAUUUCUAUAGUUUAUUACUAGAGAUUUUUCUCUGACUGUAUAGAGUACCAGAAUCCACCAGGAGGAGGUAUGCAUUCUCUCCUGAUCAUAAAGCCGGUUCUUGGUUUUGUGUUGCUGCAGCUGCCACUUGCCCUUGAUAAUGCUUCCUGCUCUCCUUGGGGUAGCUGGAGGGAGAGGAUACAGUCUUAGUGGG